AUUGAACGCUGGCGGCAGGCCUAACACAUGCAAGUCGAACGGUAGCACAGAGAGCUUGCUCUCGGGUGACGAGUGGCGGACGGGUGAGUAACGUCUGGGAAACUGCCCGAUGGAGGGGGAUAACUACUGGAAACGGUAGCUAAUACCGCAUAACGUCGCAAGACCAAGGUGGGGGACCUUCGGGCCUCACACCAUCAGAUGUGCCCAGAUGGGAUUAGCUAGUAGGUGGGGUAAUGGCUCACCUAGGCGACGAUCCCUAGCUGGUCUAAGAGGAGGACCAGCGACACUGGAACUGAGAUACGGUCCAGACUCCUACGGGAGGCAGCAGUGGGGAAUAUUGCACAAUGGGCGCAAGCCUGAUGCAGCCAUGCCGCGUGUAUGAAGAAGGCCUUCGGGUUGUAAAGUACUUUCAGCGGGGAGGAAGGCGGUGAAGUUAAUAGCUUCACCGAUUGACGUUACCCGCAGAAGAAGCACCGGCUAACUCCGUGCCAGCCGCCGCGGUAA
rnacentral:rRNA from 1 species